rnacentral:rRNA from 1 species
UGGGGAAUCUUGCGCAAUGGGCGAAAGCCUGACGCAGCAACGCCGCGUGAGGGAAGACGGUCUUAGGAUUGUAAACCUCUUUCAGUAGGGACGAAGCUUCCAGGGUUAAUAGCCCUGUGGAGUGACGGUACCUACAGAAGAAGCCCCGGCUAACUACGUGCCAGCAGCCGCGGUAAUACGUAGGGGGCAAGCGUUGUCCGGAAUCAUUGGGCGUAAAGCGCGUGUAGGCGGCUCGUAAAGUCUGGUGUGAAAUCUUGGGGCUCAACCCUAAGCUGUCACUGGAUACUGACGAGCUUGAAUCCGGAAGAGGAGUGUGGAAUUCCUGGUGUAGCGGUGGAAUGCGCAGAUAUCAGGAGGAACACCUAUGGCGAAGGCAGCACUCUGGUACGUGAUUGACGCU